GCUGGGCUGGGCGGUACAUGCCUGCAAUCCCAGCUACUAGGGAGGCUGAGGCAGGAGGAUCACUUGAGCCCAGGAGUUUGAGGCUGUAGUGUAUUAUAAUCAUGCACCUGUGAAUAGCCACUGCACUCCAGCCUGGGCAACAUAGUGAGAUCCUACCUCUA
ensembl:misc_RNA Metazoa_SRP Metazoan signal recognition particle RNA